ACCGCCUUAAAAUAAUUUGUGGUCUACUGGAGACAAUAAGACACUCUUGGCUAAGUGAUGACAAUGAGGCUCUGGCACAUCUGUUUCCUGUCAUCAGACUUCUUCAGCACAUGAAAGUGAAGACAACUGAAUCCUAUUGUCAGAUAUGGUGCGCAUCAGGACCACAAAUAGAACAGAACAAAAGUUGGACGGUAGAUUCUUUGGUAGAAUCGGAAGCAGGGAAACCACCUUGACACAUUGGCUUUCAGCGGAAUAGCAGGAAACUUAUAACACGUCACUGCAGUCAUCUCUUGCCGUGAUGAUUCCAUCCUAUUCCACUUCUCUGCCGAUUUCAAUCUCCAUCUGAAAAAAAAAGAAGAAAAAAACAAAUCAAAUCUAACAGAACCAUCUUCAGCAGCAAAUUAUAGCUGUGGAACUCUCAAACUGGACGGAAAGCAAGUUUUUUGUUGAUCUCUUUAACCGCAAAACGGUACAU